rnacentral:rRNA from 1 species
CUGGCGGUCUGCUUAACACAUGCAAGUCGAACGGAGUAGAAAUACUAGUGGCGGACGGGUGAGUAACGCGUGAGAAUCUGCCUUCAGGACGGAGACAACAGUUGGAAACGACUGCUAAGCCCCGAUGAACCGAAAGGGAAAAUAUUUAUAGCCUGAAGAUGAGCUCGCGUCCGAUUAGCUAGUUGGGGGGGUAAAGGCCCACCAAGGCGACGAUCGGUAGCUGGUCUGAGAGGACGAUCAGCCACACUGGGACUGAGACACGGCCCAGACUCCUACGGGAGGCAGCAGUGGGGAAUUUUCCGCAAUGGGCGAAAGCCUGACGGAGCAAGACCGCGUGGGGGAAGAAGGCUCUUGGGUUGUAAACCCCUUUUCUCUGGGAAGAAAGUUGUAAAGCAACCUGACGGUACCAGAGGAAUCAGCUCGGCU